rnacentral:tRNA from 1 species
AUUUAUAUAGUUUAGAAAAACAUUACAUUUUCACUGUAAAGACAAAGGUAACUUUUAUAAAUA